rnacentral:rRNA from 1 species
UACGAAGGGGGCUAGCGUUGCUCGGAAUCACUGGGCGUAAAGCGCACGUAGGCGGAUCUUUAAGUCAGGGGUGAAAUCCUGGAGCUCAACUCCAGAACUGCCUUUGAUACUGAAGAUCUUGAGUUCGGGAGAGGUGAGUGGAACUGCGAGUGUAGAGGUGAAAUUCGUAGAUAUUCGCAAGAACACCAGUGGCGAAGGCGGCCCACUGGCCCGAUACUGACGCUGAGGCACGAAAGCGUGGGGAGCAAACAGG